AGUGAACGCUGGCGGCAGGCCUAACACAUGCAAGUCGAACGGCAGCGGGGAGUAGCUUGCUACUCUGCCGGCGAGUGGCGGACGGGUGAGUAAUGCCUGGGGAGCUGCCCAAUCGAGGGGGAUACCAGUUGGAAACGACUGCUAAUACCGCAUACGCCCUGAGGGGGAAAGGUGGGGAUCUUCGGACCUAUCGCGAUUGGAUGUACCCAGGUGGGAUUAGCUAGUUGGUGAGGUAACGGCUCACCAAGGCGACGAUCUCUAGCUGGUCUGAGAGGAUGACAAGCCACACUGGAACUGAGACACGGUCCAGACGCCUACGGGAGGCAGCAGUGGGGAAUAGUGCACAAUGGGGGAAACCCUGAUGCAGCCAUGCCGCGUGUGUGAAGAAGGCCUUCGGGUUGUAAAGCACUUUCAGCGAGGAGGAAAGGUUGGCAGCUAAUACCUGUCGGCUGUGACGUUACUCGCAGAAGAAGCACCGGCUAACUCCGUGCCAGCCGCCGCGGUAACAC
rnacentral:rRNA from 1 species